GACGAACGCUGGCGGCGUGCUUAACACAUGCAAGUCGAACGGAAAGGCCCUGCUUUUGUGGGGUGCUCGAGUGGCGAACGGGUGAGUAACACGUGAGUAACCUGCCCUUGACUUUGGGAUAACUUCAGGAAACUGGGGCUAAUACCGGAUAGGAGCUCCUGCUGCAUGGUGGGGGUUGGAAAGUUUCGGCGGUUGGGGACGGACUCGCGGCUUAUCAGCUUGUUGGUGGGGUAGUGGCUUACCAAGGCUUUGACGGGUAGCCGGCCUGAGAGGGUGACCGGCCACAUUGGGACUGAGAUACGGCCCAGACUCCUACGGGAGGCAGCAGUGGGGAAUAUUGCACAAUGGGCGGAAGCCUGAUGCAGCAACGCCGCGUGCGGGAUGACGGCCUUCGGGUUGUAAACCGCUUUCGCCUGUGAUGAAGCGUGAGUGACGGUAAUGGGUAAAGAAGCACCGGCUAACUACGUG
rnacentral:rRNA from 1 species